CCUACGGGUGGCUGCAGUGGGGGAUAUUGCACAAUGGGGGGAACCCUGAUGCAGCGACGCCGCGUGGGUUCAGAAGCGCUUCGGAGCGUAAAGCCCUAUCAGCAGGGAAGAAAAUGACGGUACCUGAAGAAGAAGCCCCGGCUAACUACGUGCCAGCAGCCGCGGUAAUACGUAGGGGGCAAGGUGGAUCCGGGUUUACUGGGUGUAAAGGGGGCGGAGACGGCAAUGCAAGCCAGGAGUGAAAGCCCGGGGCCCAACCCCGGGACUCCUCUUGGAACUGGUUGGCUGGAGUGCAGGAGGGGCAGGCGGAAUGCCUGGUGUAGCGGUGAAAGGCGUAGAUAUCAGGAGGAACACCGGUGGCGAAGGCGGCCUGCUGGACUGCAACUGACGUUGAGGCCCGAAAGCGUGGGGAGCAAACAGGAUUAGAUACCCCAGUAGUC
rnacentral:rRNA from 1 species